rnacentral:rRNA from 1 species
GACGAACGCUGGCGGCGUGCCUAAUACAUGCAAGUCGACCUUAGUGGCGAACGGGUGAGUAAAACGUGGGUAAGAUGCACCUCAGCAGGGGACAACAUUUGUAAACAGGUGUUAAUACCGUAUAUUUAUGGAUAGACCCUCGGUUCAUUAGCUAGGUGGGGAGGUCACGGCUCACCAUGGCCACGAUGCAUAGCAGACCUGUGAGGGUGACCGUCCACAGUGGCACUGAGACACGGCCCAAACUCCUACGGGAGGCAGCAGUAGGGAAUCUUCGGCAAUGGUCGAAAGUCUGACCGAGCAACGCCGCGUGAGUGAAGAAGGUUUUCGGAUCGUAAAACUCUGUUGUUAGAGAAGCGUUACCUAACCAGAAAGCCACGGCUAACUACGUGCCAGCAGCCGCGGUAAUUC